rnacentral:rRNA from 1 species
AUUGAACGCUGGCGGCAGGCUUAACACAUGCAAGUCGAGCGGAGUGAUGGUGCUUGCACUAUCACUUAGCGGCGGACGGGUGAGUAAUGCUUAGGAAUCUGCCUAUUAGUGGGGGACAACAUCUCGAAAGGGAUGCUAAUACCGCAUACGUCCUACGGGAGAAAGCAGGGGAUCACUUGUGGCCUUGCGCUAAUAGAUGAGCCUAAGUCGGAUUAGCUAGGUGGUGGGGUAAAGGCCUACCAAGGCGACGGUCUGUAGCGGGUAGGGGAGGAGGAAUCGGCGAACUGGGACUGAGAAAACGGCCAGAAUACUACGGGGGGGAGCAGGGGGGAAUAUUGGACAAAGGGGGGAACCCUGAUCCAGCCAUGCCGCGUGUGUGAAGAAGGCCUUAUGGUUGUAAAGCACUUUAAGCGAGGAGGAGGCUCUUUUGGUUAAUACCCAAGAUGAGUGGACGUUACUCGCAGAAUAAGCACCGGCUAACUCUGUGCCAGCCGCCGCCGUAA